rnacentral:rRNA from 1 species
UACGGGGGGGGCAAGCGUUGUUCGGAAUUACUGGGCGUAAAGGGCUUGUAGGUGGCCAACUAAGUCAGACGUGAAAUCCCUCGGCUUAACCGGGGAACUGCGUCUGAUACUGGAUGGCUUGAGUUCGGGAGAGGGAUGCGGAAUUCCAGGUGUAGCGGUGAAAUGCGUAGAUAUCUGGAGGAACACCGGUGGCGAAGGCGGCAUCCUGGACCGACACUGACGCUGAGGAGCGAAAGCCAGGGGAGCAAACGGG